ensembl:lncRNA
AGCCAAUUCCCUCUGGACUCUGUGAUGCAUUUCCUUGGGACCCAUACACUUACAGAUGUUCAGGUUCCUCAGGUGUCAGAGAACCUGAUCUUUGCUUACAGUGGGAGGGGCACUGCUCCCCCAGUUCUCACCUUCCGAACUGAACAAGCCUUUCUUGUUCUUCUUUGCUAAAGUCCAGUUCCAGCUGGGUCUUGACCUGUCUGAUCCCAUCCCUACACAGCCCAGAAGCAUCCCUAUACUCCUCCCAGAACACCUGUUCCUGCUUCCACUCGGUGACAUCCUGCUGUCUGACAAAGAUUCGCAGUGGUUAGUCACUGGAUAUCUCAGUGUGACAUUAGUAUAAACAAGCAAUUGGAAACAUUGCUAAAAUCAGUCUUCAGUCUGGUAUCAAGCACAGAAUAAAGGAAACUGUAUUGAAAAUCAAAAUAAAACAUCAGGAGUCCAUGUUGAGGUUUGAUCUCCUCUAGCACCUAAGAUAUGGUUUACUUUUCCAACCACUCCAAAGCCCUAGUCUGCAUCGAUGCGGAUAGGAAUGGACAGUGACCUUCAGUCAGUUAUGCCAGGGUUCCUGCAGGCUUCAGUGCAGCAGACGAGAGGUCAGUGAACUCUUUCAGUGGGCUAAGGGCAGGCUCCUGUUUGCAUUUGCCUACAAGAAUGCAGAGAGAGGAAACCUGAAAUGCGUCUCUCCAGUUCACUGGCUAGAGAUGAAAAUACAAACUGUAAAAUGCUUUUAUUCUCCACAAGCACAGAGGUUUGGGGUGUCACAGUGACUGCAGAUUGUCACUGCUGGCCCCAUGGGAAGCAGAGCUCUGCUCCUGGGGCUGCUCCGACACACCGUGAUGAAUCCCAGGGGAGACCUGGGGAUGCCCGCUAGGGUCUGGCCUGCGGGAGGAAGAUGCAGGGUUUGGAGGGGGGUGAUGGUUGGGCGUGUGGUCUGGGUGAGCACAGGGAUAAGCAGCAGAGGGGACAGCCACAACAUGGGGUUUUCUGAAGUUCUCACCUUUUUGCACAGUGGUUUGCAGCAGAAGGGCCAAGGGAAGAGUAGAUCUCACUCUUACCUCCACUCAGACCUUCCCGGCUCUAAGAAACACACUGCUCCAAACGAACGCUGCUGCAGUGCUCGGUGUUUAACUCCCCAUGCAGCACAGAACUACUGUCAUUGUCUUCAGUGGGGCUUUGCCUGAGAAAAAAACAGGGAUUGAAUUAGUUAUUUGCUUCAGAGCUCAUCUUAGGUGAGUCAUACCUAUAAGCAGCUUGGAAAUGUGGCAAUUCAGAGCAGUAUAUGGAAUGAACUAGACUGUAUCUAGACUGUAUGUGUGUUCUUCCACAAACUAACAGGCGCUGUGCUUACCACCAAUACCAACCGGUAACCAAACCCACUGGAAUAUCUCCAUCCAUGCAACUAAAGAAAAAGCCUUAAAUAGUUUAUAGCUCAGAGUUAAAACAAUUCAUUAACAAUAAGUAACUCGUAUAACUGGGAUCAGUAGGUGAUUUUUUCUGAGCUCUAUCAUUUCUAGGUAUGUACGUUACAGCCACAGGCAAACACAUUGCACUGCUCUGCUUUUUACACUGUGGUGUGCAGCCCAACCACGUAUACAACCCUCACGUUUCUGCCUCUCUCUCUCAAAUCAUAGUAUGAAUCUCAGGCCUUUAAAUUAAGUUUAUGCCAUGCUUCUGGAUGCUGCCGAGCGUCGUGUGCAAGAAUGACAUCAUUGUUUCUGGAGUUACGACCCAACAUGAAAAGAGGAAAAUCAGAAGCAGACUUUUUAAGAGGAAAAUAUCAAAAGAAAUGAGCACCAUGAAUGCAGCAUACGGUGCUUCUGGGUGCCGUAAACGUUUUCUCAUUCCUUGCUCGGGAAGAGCUGCACGACACGCCAGCAGCGCGGCCAUCCCCAGCGCAGCAGGCUGCUCGGCCGCCAGCCCGUUUCCUCCUCCGCCCCCAUGCACUGCCCCAGUGCCGAACCGCCAUCUGCACGCGU